rnacentral:RNase_P_RNA from 2 species
CAAGCAGACCACCUUAUCGCUGCCAAGUAAUUGGGAGAGGAAAGUCCGGACACCAUAGUGCAGUAUAGCGGGUAACGCCCGUCCGCUGAAAAGUGAGGACAAGUGCAACAGAAAGCAAGUACAGUUCGGCUGUAGUGAAACCAGGUAAACUCUAUACGGUGAAACGUCAUGUAAAUCGAUGCUUAAGGGCUGCACGCCCAAGUCGAAGGGUAGGCGGUUAGAGUACUGGGGUAACCCUUUACCUAGAUAAAUGAUAAGGAAUUCUAAAGUUUUUAGAAUACAGAAUCCGGCUUAUGGUCUGCUUUUUUU